AUACAGAGGGUGCGAGCGUUAAUCGGAAUUACUGGGCGUAAAGCGCGCGUAGGCGGCUUGGUCAGUCGGAUGUGAAAGCCCCGGGCUCAACCUGGGAAUGGCAUUCGAUACUGCCAGGCUAGAGUAUGGGAGAGGGAAGUGGAAUUUCCGGUGUAGCGGUGAAAUGCGUAGAUAUUGGAAGGAACACCAGUGGCGAAGGCGACUUCCUGGCCCAAUACUGACGCUGAGGUGCGAAAGCGUGGGGAGCGAACAGGAUUAGAUACCCCAGUAGUCC
rnacentral:rRNA from 1 species